GACGAACGCUGGCGGCGUGCUUAACACAUGCAAGUCGAACGGAAAGGCCCUGCUUUUGUGGGGUGCUCGAGUGGCGAACGGGUGAGUAACACGUGAGUAACCUGCCCUUGACUUUGGGAUAACUUCAGGAAACUGGGGCUAAUACCGGAUAGGAGCUCCUGCUGCAUGGUGGGGGUUGGAAAGUUUCGGCGGUUGGGGAUGGACUCGCGGCUUAUCAGCUUGUUGGUGGGGUAGUGGCUUACCAAGGCUUUGACGGGUAGCCGGCCUGAGAGGGUGACCGGGCACAUUGGGACUGAGAUACGGCCCAGACUCCUACGGGAGGCAGCAGUGGGGAAUAUUGCACAAUGGGCGGAAGCCUGAUGCAGCAACGCCGCGUGCGGGAAGACGGCCUUCGGGUUGUAAACCGCUUUCGCCUGUGACGAAGCGUGAGUGACGGUAAUGGGUAAAGAAGCACCGGCUAACUACGUG
rnacentral:rRNA from 1 species